GUGUUGUAUGAAAGGAAAGAAAGUUAGUGUUCCCCUUUAUAAUGAUGGGAGAGGCCAUAGUGGCCUGCAUAACAUGCAUACGGUGAAGGCAUUGCCAACUACUUCAUAGGAUCUAAUCACGUUUUUGG
rfam:Callipepla squamata strain Texas jcf7180005234656, whole genome shotgun sequence.